CUUUCAGGAAGAUAAGCAGCCCAGACUUGAGUUUCUAGAUGUAUACAACCAGGUGCAUGUCCAAGGCACAGAGGGUGGUAUUUAUAACCCAUAGUAACAUUAAAUGCAGUGUCUUAUUCUCCUGGUUGGGCAGGGCAACAGUUAUCUGUGGCUCCAGGCAUCCACACACUAUUGUUAGUGUAGAUUUCUGCAGAAGCAUCUAUCCAGGUGAGAGGUUGAAUAAGUGGAGGAAAAGGCACAUAAGCCCAAUAAGAAUAUUUAUGUGUAGCAGGUAAAUCAGUGUGAGAGGAAACUGGUGAGACAGAAAGUAUAAGGAGGAGAAUCAUUAAAUAAAACUUAUUGUAAGUGAGAUUCUGAAGAAGGAAGAGAAGAACAGUGUUAAGUAUCCUGGCAAAGGAGCAUUAGGGUUACAGAUAGAAUUGAAGUUGCUCGUCAGCUGAUUGAAGAUAAGGAGAUUGGCCUGGAUUAUCCAGGUAGGCUCAAUGUAAUCAGGAAGGGCCUUUAAAGUGAGAGAGGGAGGCAGAAGAGGAAGUCAGAGCGAUGUGCUGUGAAAUCUACUACCGUUUGCUGGUUUUGAAAAUGGAGAAAAAGAGUGAGGAACUGAGAAACAUGGAUGGCCUUGGGAACGUGGAAAAGACACAUACUAACAAAAGGCCACAUGAGGACACAGUGAGAAGCUGGAAGUCUACAACCCAGAAGAGAGCCCUCAACAGAACCUAACCAUGCUGGUACCCUGAUCUCAGACAUCCAGCCUCCAGAAGAGUGAAAAAAUAUAAUUCUUAUUUCUAAGCAACCUGGUCUAUGGUAUUUCAUUAUGGCAGCCCAAGCUAAGACAGAUCCCUAUCCUAUUCACCAUGCUGCAGAGCCACAUGAGCCUCCCUUUUGUUCCUCAAGCUCAUCAAAUACCUCCUAGCCUUAGAACUUGCUAUUCCCUCUAACCAGAAUUCUCUUCCAGGUCUUUCCAUCCUGUAAGUCUUGUCCUUUAGAUCGAAAUUCACAUGUGACCUCCCCUGAGAAUGGUCCUCUGAAAACCUAUCUCAAAGAGUGUUCCCAGUUACUCUCUACCUUACCCCCAGGUUAUUAUCUUCCCACCACUUUUCCAUAUUUGUAAUCAUUUGCUUUUGUAUAUGUGUGAUAUGGUUAGGCUUAGUGUCCCUACCCAAAUCUCGUGUUAAAUUGUAAUCCCCAGGGAGAUUACAAUUUAGGGAGAGACCUGGUGGGAAGUGAUUGGAUUAUGGGGGUGGGUUCCCCCAUGCUGUUCUCGUGAUAGUGAGUGAAUUCUCAUAAGAUCUAAUGGUUUUGUAAAUGGUAGUUUUUCCUGUGCUGACUCAUUCUCUCUCCUGCUGCCUUGUGAAGAGGUGCCUUCUGUCAUGACUGUAAGUUUCCUGAAGCUUCCCCAACCAUGGGGAACUGUGAGUCAAUUAAACCUCUUUGCUUUAUAAAUUACCCAGUCUCAGGUAUUUCUUCAUAGCAGUGUAAGAAUGGACUAAUACAAUGUGUAGUUAUUUAUUUAAUAUUUGUCACCACCCCCCAAGCACAUUCACACAAUCAGCCCCUUCAGAUCAGAGAUCCAUACAUUUACCAUUUUAUUGCUAGCAUCUAGCAUGCUUGGCUCAUUAUUAUUGCUCAGUAACUAUUUGUGGAGUAAAUAAAUAAAUGAUCAAUCAAUGAAAAUCAUGUGAUAUAAAUAAGUUUCUUACUUUAAGAAUUCAGUUUAUUGAUAGACUGUAUUGCGUGUCAAAUUGACAUUAAAAAGGAAAGGAUAAUAGUGUAAGAAUUAGGAUAACAAAAGAUGGAAGGGGGGGCAAAUAAAAAUAUGCCAGUGGUUUCCAUAUGAUCUUAAAUAAGUUACUAACAUUCUGGUUACCAUUUCAAAAAUAGGCAUAAAAAUAUUUGCUCAGCCUAUAUCAAAGCGAUUUCAAAACUUGAGUAGGGCCCC
rnacentral:lncRNA from 1 species